rnacentral:rRNA from 1 species
CCCGGAUAACAACACUAGACGCAUGUCUAGAGUUUAAAAGAUGGGUUCUGCUAUCACUCUUGGGAUGGGACCCUGCGGUGCAUUAGCUAGUUGGUAAGGUAACGGGCUUUACCAAGGCAAUGAUGCAUAGCCCGAGUUGAGAGACUGAUCGGGCCACAUUGGGGACUGAGACACGGGCCCAAAACUCCUACGGGGAGGCAGCAGUAGGGAAUCUUCCACAAUGGACGCAAGUCUGAUGGAGCAACGCCGCGUGAGUGAAGUAAGGGUUUCGGCUACGUAAAGCUCUGUUGGUAGUGAAGAAAGAUAGAGGUAGUAACUGGUCCUUUAUUUGACGGUAAUUACUUAGAAGUCACGGCUAACUACGUGCCAGCAGCCGCGGUAAU